UACACGCAUUUCACAAAUGUUUUUUUUUUCAGUAGCGCGAUUCUGUAACUCGUUAUGCUGUCGUUAUGGACUCAUAACGACAAGUUUCGUUAUGCUACCGACCGCAUCGCUAUUAUAACGACAAAUGCGAUUCUGUACACUAUUCUUAGCGAGUUUUGUCGUUAUUAGUAACGAAAAGUUUCGUUAUGAUGUCGUUACGGUGCGAGCGGAUAGCGAGGCUCAGAGACCCCCUCGGUACGCUAUAACGACCAUUAUAACGACACUUUGCACACGAGCUAGAGGAGUGGUGUGCGUUUCCCAUAUUUUUCUUGACUCCGAGAAAGUGCUUUGAAAAGUGCUCCGAAAGUGAAAAAUAAUUACGACGUUUGAAAUAACAAGUAAGAUCAUAGCUAUCGAAUACCUUGCUUGGGAUGUGUUCGUUCUUGAGGAAAGAUUACGUCGACUCGAACGUCGUGUGGAAAGAAGGCGACUGAGAAAUGCUCAGAAUCCUUUUCAGCUACCACGAGAAGAGUUUCUCAGCCUUUUUCGCCUGCCUCAAGAAGCUGUGAUGAAUCUUGGUUAACACCUUAAGCGCAGUCAAAGCGAAAAUAUUUUUCACUGUUCAGCAAAGCAGCAUAGGUGAUGCUGGAUAUCCGUUGGAGCCUUGGCUGUUAACACCUCUGGCCAAUUUUCCUGAAGAUACGCGACAACAUCAAUAUACACAACAACUAUGUAAGGCUAGAAGCGUCGUCGAGCGGUUUUUUGGAGUUUUUAAAUCUGUAUGGAGAUGCUUGUCAUACCAGCGAGUCUUGAUGUACGAACCAGCGUUCGCAGCGAAAAUUGUUAAUGCGUGUGCAGUACUGCACAACA
rnacentral:lncRNA from 1 species